GUCUGCCUACGGGGGGCAGCAGUGAGGAAUAUUGGUCAAUGGGCGGGAGCCUGAACCAGCCAAGCCGCGUGAAGGAAGAAGGCGCCAAGCGUCGUAAACUUCUUUUGUCGGGGAACAAAGGGCGCCACGUGUGGCGUUGUGAGUGUACCCGAAGAAAAAGCAUCGGCUAACUCCGUGCCAGCAGCCGCGGUAAUACGGAGGAUGCGAGCGUUAUCCGGAUUUAUUGGGUUUAAAGGGAGCGUAGGCCGCAUGUCAAGCGUGCUGUGAAAUGUCCGGGCUCAACCCGGGCCUUGCAGCGCGAACUG
rnacentral:rRNA from 1 species